UACAGAGGUGGCAAGCGUUGUUCGGAAUUACUGGGCGUAAAGGGCGCGUAGGCGGCCUUCUAAGUCAGACGUGAAAUCCCCCGGGCUCAACCCGGGAACUGCGUCCGAUACUGGAAGGCUUGAAUCCGGGAGAGGAUGAGGGAAUUCCUGGUGUAGCGGUGAAAUGCGUAGAUAUCAGGAGGAACACCGGUGGCGAAGGCGCCACUCUGGGCCGAAACUGACGCUGAGGAGCGAAAGCGGUGGGUAGCAAACAGG
rnacentral:rRNA from 1 species